rnacentral:lncRNA from 1 species
GUAGUGAGAUAUAUUGUGAUCUCCAUCAUAAUAUCAUCGAAACUCCUUUUGAUGAGUUGGAAUAAUUCUAACUCUGCUCUUUGAGGAUCAUCGAUCAUCAGGAUGAUGCUUGAUGAGUCCUAUAAUUUAUCAGUGAUACCUAGUAUGUAAUAGCAACCAGUAGAAUGAAAGUGUGAACCCCUAGGUGCAGUUAUCAUAUGA